UGUUCGGCAUCUCAACCUGAGCAAAGAACCGGUCACAGGGGCGCCAGCAACUACCCAAUUUUUUUGCUACUGGCUGGUCCCUCGUAAAUUGUUAGAUCCAAGUUUACUGCCUACUUACCUGGGUUGCCUAGUGCUGGGACCCUACCGUUGGGAUUGAUCCUUCCGAUGUCAAAAAGACAGGAGUGCAAAUCCGAAGACUCUUUAGAUACGCUGUAUA
rnacentral:lncRNA from 1 species